AGCGGCGGUAGCUCAGCGGUCAGAGCAUCCGGCUCAUAAUCGGAAGGCCGUGGGUUCAAAUCCCACCCCCGCUCCCA
rnacentral:tRNA from 1 species